AUUGAACGCUGGCGGCAGGCCUAACACAUGCAAGUCGAGCGAGCGGCGGACGGGUGCGUAAUGUAUGGGGACUGCCCGCUAGAGGGGGAUAACUACUGGAAACGGUGGCUAAUACCGCAUACUAUCGGAUAACCCAUAUGGGAUUAGCUAGUAGGUGGGGUAAAGGCUAACAUAGGCGACGAUCUCUAGCUGGUCGGAGAGGAUGAUCAGACAAACUGGGACUGAGACACGGCCCAGACUCCGCCGGAGGCAGCAGUGGGGAAUAUUGGACAAUGGGCGAAAGCCGGAUGCAGCCAGGCCGCGUGUAUGAAGAAGGCUUGAGGGUUGUAAAGUACUUUCAGCGGGGAGGCGUUACCCGCAGAAGAAGCACCGGCUAACUCCGUGCCAGCAGCCGCGGUAAUUC
rnacentral:rRNA from 1 species